rnacentral:lncRNA from 10 species
CUUCAUCCUUGGCCGUCUGUGAAAGGCGUUGAACUUUAUUUGUCUUUUAGUAUCUACAAUUUGGCAAACUCUUCCAUGCAAGGUUGGGGCUGUGCCCAGAACUCUGGUUUUAAGGGGAGCAGAGUGUUCCCGGCACUGGGAGCUGGGGUCGGUGUGUUUUCUAGAAGAGCUGCUGUCAAUUUCAAGAUCCCAGAAGAUAGGCCUGGAAGCCAGAAGGGUAAACAUGUUGCCAUGGAGUUCUGUUUAAAAUAAAAUACAAUGGAAAGAAAAGCAGCAUGAUGAAGUAACCACAUGGACUGCAGGAUACACCUGAUACUAAUUACUGUCAUGCAGAAUGUUCUGGAAGACAUUUGACUCGCCUGAUGUAUACAUUCAAAUCAAGCAAAGUAGGACUGGAAGGCUCCUUAGGGACCAUCUUGUCCAAGUCUUUCCUUUUUCCAGAUGAGGAAGUAGGGGCCCACAGAGAGGGAGGGCCUGGACCUCAGCCUCCCAGCGCGGAGGGAGCAGAGCCGGGAUUCAAACCCGUGGUGCUUUGUAGGAAACCCGUAAUUUCCACGGUCUUUUUCCUUGGGCUGUCAGUAAGGCCCUGAAAUAGGAGAGUGGGGUUUACUGUGAACCUCGAAGGAGCAGGCUCAAGAGCCAGGGGGCCCAGAAUAGGGCAGAGGCUGGCUUCUCACUGGGAGGCUCAACUUCCCGCAGGGGCGCCAGGCCCUGACAGGAGAGACUGGACAUUAGGUGUCUGGAAGUUUCUCCUUCUAGGGGCUCCAGGAGCAUCCCACCUGAGGCCUGGGGCUCCCACCGGAACGUCAACUCAUGCCCUUGUGGGGCUGCAGGGCUGACGCGGGCUGGCACUGUGUCUACGACAGCCUCCCGGGCCCCCGGGUGCGUGGCUGCGGAUGCUCUCUGGCGGCCACCACAGUUCCCACGCGCGGCGGGUGAAUGCGAGCCCCUUGUCAAUGCGUGCCCCUCGCCUCUGCCCCCGAGAGGCUAGCAACCGGGCCUGCCGGCGUCUGAUUGGCCGUGGGGGCCUGACGACAGGGGCUCCUGGUUGCUGAUUGGCCCCGGCCAGCUCUGGCUGUUUCCUAGCUAUUAAUACUGUGGCUAAUAAACGUUCUCCU